GGGGAAUGACGUCCGGUCCGAACAAGCCACGGCUGCUGCUGCGCUACCGCCGCGGCUUCGGACCAGGCUUCAUUCCCC